AAAUACCGGUUCUCACCCUAUCCCUGAAGUUAAGCAACGUUGGACCUGGUUUAUACCCUGAUGAGUGACCAUUUGCGAAUACUUGGUGCUGUAAG